ACACCACACAGGAAAAUCAAGCCCAGUGGUACAGGACAGAAGAACUGGCUCCAGCCAGGAUCAAGCAUUGCUUUGGCAUUGUUCCCCAAUACCUGGGCCUUUCUUCUCCAAUUGUUGGGGUAACUGGAGUGAGGAGCCUGAGGGGACCCAAAGGUGUUCUCCUGGUAGGAUUCCCUCUCAUGGUCUUCUGCAUUUGUAGACAUUUUGAUUGGUUCCAUUUCUAAGGGCCAAUUAUCUGUGCUUUAACCUGAAAUAAGGAACCUGCCUUCUGAUCUUCAAGGAUAUGUACAUGGACACACAUCUUUCAGAUUCAACUCUUGAGAUUUUUGGUUUUAAACAAACAAUUGUGUUCAUCACAAAUGAAGAUUCCCUCAAGCAGCAGCCUCCUGGAAUCAACUGCUGAGUCCAAAUCUUGUAGCCCUUAAAAAUAUUUAGUAUUUUUACUAAGUAAUAAGUAUUUAGGGUGUUAUGAAAAAUGCAAUUUGAAAAAGUACAUUGGUUUUUAAGAACAAGAGGAACUAUUUAGAAAUUAUACAAUAUAUUAACAAAAGUAAAUAUUUAAUAUAUCUCAAACACAAAAAUGCAAAAACUGGUUACCAAGCAUCAAGAAAAACUUAAAACUUGUAAAAUACAAAGGUUAAAUGUAUUUUAUCUUCAUUCUAUUAUUAGCAGAUAACCUUAAUAAAAAUGAGCUGUUAUUUACAGCAAAAUAUCAUGUAA
ensembl:lncRNA novel transcript